rnacentral:rRNA from 1 species
AUUGAAGAGUUUGAUCAUGGCUCAGGAUGAACGCUGGCGGCGUGCUUAACACAUGCAAGUCGAACGGAGGACCCCUGAAGGAGUUUUCGGACAACUGAAGGGAAUCCUUAGUGGCGGACGGGUGAGUAACGCGUGAGUAACCUGCCUUGGAGUGGGGAAUAACAGCUGGAAACAGCUGCUAAUACCGCAUAAUAUAUCUGGGUCGCAUGGCUCUGGAUAUCAAAGAUUUAUCGCUCUGAGAUGGACUCGCGUCUGAUUAGCUGGUUGGCGGGGUAACGGCCCACCAAGGCGACGAUCAGUAGCCGGACUGAGAGGUUGACCGGCCACAUUGGGACUGAGACACGGCCCAGACUCCUACGGGAGGCAGCAGUGGGGAAUAUUGGGCAAUGGGCGCAAGCCUGACCCAGCAACGCCGCGUGAAGGAAGAAGGCUUUCGGGUUGUAAACUUCUUUUCUCAGGGACGAAGAAAGUGACGGUACCUGAGGAAUAAGCCACGGCUAACUACGUGCCAGCAGCCGCGGUAAUACGUAGGUGGCAAGCGUUAUCCGGAUUUACUGGGUGUAAAGGGCGUGUAGGCGGGACUGCAAGUCAGAUGUGAAAACCACGGGCUCAACCUGUGGCCUGCAUUUGAAACUGUAGUUCUUGAGUACUGGAGAGGCAGACGGAAUUCCUAGUGUAGCGGUGAAAUGCGUAGAUAUUAGGAGGAACACCAGUGGCGAAGGCGGUCUGCUGGACAGCAACUGACGCUGAGGCGCGAAAGCGUGGGGAGCAAACAGGAUUAGAUACCCUGGUAGUCCACGCUGUAAACGAUGGAUACUAGGUGUGGGGGGACUGACCCCCUCCGUGCCGCAGUUAACACAAUAAGUAUCCCACCUGGGGAGUACGAUCGCAAGGUUGAAACUCAAAGGAAUUGACGGGGGCCCGCACAAGCGGUGGAGUAUGUGGUUUAAUUCGAAGCAACGCGAAGAACCUUACCAGGGCUUGACAUCCCGCUGACCGGCAUAGAGAUAUGCUUUUCUCUUCGGAGACAGCGGUGACAGGUGGUGCAUGGUUGUCGUCAGCUCGUGUCGUGAGAUGUUGGGUUAAGUCCCGCAACGAGCGCAACCCUUAUUGUUAGUUGCUACGCAAGAGCACUCUAGCGAGACUGCCGUUGACAAAACGGAGGAAGGUGGGGACGACGUCAAAUCAUCAUGCCCCUUAUGUCCUGGGCCACACACGUACUACAAUGGUGGUUAACAGAGGGAAGCAAAACCGCGAGGUGGAGCAAAUCCCUAAAAGCCAUCCCAGUUCGGAUCGCAGGCUGCAACCCGCCUGCGUGAAGUUGGAAUCGCUAGUAAUCGCGGAUCAGCAUGCCGCGGUGAAUACGUUCCCGGGCCUUGUACACACCGCCCGUCACACCAUGAGAGUCGGGAACACCCGAAGUCCGUAGCCUAACAGCAAUGGGGGCGCGGCCGAAGGUGGGUUCGAUAAUUGGGGUGAAGUCGUAACAAGGUAACC